CGGGACGGGUGAGUAAUGUAUGGGGAUCUGCCUGAUGGGGGGGAGUAACUACUGGAAACGGUAGCUAAUACCGCAUAAUGUCUACGGACCAAAGCGGGGGACCUCCGGGCCUCGCGCCAUCAGAUGAACCCAUAUGGGAUUAGCUAGUAGGUAAGGUAACGGCUUACCUAGGCGACGAUCCCUAGCUGGUCUGAGAGGAUGAUCAGCCACACUGGGACUGAGACACGGCCCAG
rnacentral:rRNA from 1 species